rnacentral:rRNA from 1 species
UGGAAACGGUGACUAAUACCGCAUGUCAUCACGAGAAGGCAUCUUUUUGUGAGAAAAGGAGUAAUUCGGUAUAGGAUGGGCCCGCAUCUGAUUAGCUAGUUGGUGAGAUAACAGCCCACCAAGGCGACGAUCAGUAGCCGACCUGAGAGGGUGAUCGGCCACAUUGGGACUGAGACACGGCCCAAACUCCUACGGGAGGCAGCAGUGGGGAAUAUUGCACAAUGGGGGAAACCCUGAUGCAGCAACGCCGCGUGAAGGAAGAAGGUUUUCGGAUCGUAAACUUCUAUCAACAGGGACGAAGAAAGUGACGGUACCUGAAUAAGAAGCCCCGGCUAACUACGUGCCAGCAGCCGCGGUAAUACGUAGGGGGCAAGCGUUAUCCGGAAUUACUGGGUGUAAAGGGAGCGUAGGCGGCACGCCAAGCCAGAUGUGAAAGCCCGAGGCUUAACCUCGCGGAUUGCAUUUGGAACUGGCGAGCUAGAGUACAGGAGAGGAAAGCGGAAUUCCUAGUGUAGCGGUGAAAUGCGUAGAUAUUAGGAAGAACACCAGUGGCGAAGGCGGCUUUCUGGACUGAAACUGACGCUGAGGCUCGAAAGCGUGGGGAGCAAACAGGAUUAGAUACCCUGGUAGUCCACGCCGUAAACGAUGAGUGCUAGGUGUCGGG